rnacentral:rRNA from 1 species
CACACUGUCAAGAAAAGCUUCUAUCGAGUUUAAAGGCGCCCGUACCGUAAACCGACACAGGUGGGUGAGGAGAGUAUCCUAAGGCCAGCGAGAGAACUAUUGUUAAGGAACUCGGCAAAAUGACCCCGUAACUUAGGGAGAAGGGGUGCCUGUCUAUGACAGGCCGCAGAGAAUAGGCCCAAGCGACUGUUUACCAAAAACACAGGUUUCUGCUAAGUCGCAAGACGAUGUAUAGGAGCUGACGCCUGCCCGGUGCUGGAAGGUUAAGGGGAUCUGUUAGAGCAAUCGAAGCAGUGAACUUAAGCCCCAGUAAACGGCGGCCGUAACAAUAACGGUCCUAAGGUAGCGAAAUUCCUUGUCGGGUAAGUUCCGACCCGCACGAAAGGCGUAACGAUUUGGGCACUGUCUCAACAAUAGACUCGGUGAAAUUGUAAUCCCGGUGAAGAUGCCGGGUACCUGCGACAGGACGGAAAGACCCCAUGGAGCUUUACUGUAGCUUGACGUUGGGUCUUGGUACUACAUGUACAGGAUAGGUGGGAGACUAUGAAGCAUGGACGCCAGUCUGUGUGGAGUCAUCCUUGGGAUACCACCCUUGUAGUACUGGGAUCCUAACCAUAGGCCUUGAAUCAGGUCUUGGAACACCGUCAGGUGGGCAGUUUGACUGGGGCGGUCGCCUCCUAAAAAGUAACGGAGGCGCUCAAAGGUUUCCUCAGCACGGUCGGAAAUCGUGCGAAGAGUGUAAAGGCAAAAGGAAGCUUGAUUGCAAGACAUACAGGUCGAGCAAGGACGAAAGUCGGACUUAGUGAUCCGGUGGUACCGCAUGGAAGGGCCAUCGCUCAACGGAUAAAAGCUACCCUGGGGAUAACAGGCUUAUCUCCCCCAAGAGUCCACAUCGACGGGGAGGUUUGGCACCUCGAUGUCGGCUCAUCACAUCCUGGGGCUGUAGUAGGUCCCAAGGGUUGGGCUGUUCGCCCAUUAAAGUGGUACGCGAGCUGGGUUCAGAACGUCGUGAGACAGUUCGGUCCCUAUCCGUCGCAGGCGUAGGAAAUUUGAGAAGACCUGUCCUUAGUACGAGAGGACCGGGAUGGACGUACCUCUGGUGUACCAGUUGUUCUGCCAAGGGCAUGGCUGGGUAGCUAUGUACGGAACGGAUAAGCGCUGAAAGCAUCUAAGCGCGAAGCCAACUUCAAGAUAAGAUUUCCCACCGUAAGGGUAAGACCCCAGGAAGACUACCUGGUUGAUAGGUCGAAGGUGUAAGUGCAGUAAUGUAUUUAGCUUAUCGAUACUAAUAGGUCGAGGACUUGACAAA